rnacentral:lncRNA from 1 species
AUGCAGCUGUUCGUGAUGGCGGUGAUCGUGCUGAGCCUGUCGCUAAUCACAAAGCUGGAUGCGGUGCUGGAGCAGUCGUUCUCCGGGCGGGAGCAGAUCCUCUCCUGGGCGAACGGCGCGUACGCCUGGCUCAAGUCGCAGUCCUGCGCGGAGCCCGUGUUCGCGGACGAGAAGACGUGCCUGGACGUGACGGGGCGGCCCAAGUCGGAGAUGCGCCUCUACGCGGCCGGGCCCAACUCCAACGGCCCGCUCACGGCCGUCUUCCCCGACGGCGAAGCCCGCCACGCCGGCAGCCAUGACGCAAUCCUCGUCCUCGACCCCUACCCCAACCUCCGCUUCGGACACUUCGUCCUCAUGUUCUUCGUCGACUUCAACACCCCAACGACAAGUGCGCCCAAGAGAACGGCACCCAUUUUGAUAACGGGGACUGUUUGUACCUAGCGAAGAAGCAUAAAUGCAACAACCGAAACCGGCAGUCCCUACGGCGGCGUAUGUCCCACAGCAACCACAACUGUGAGCUGAUGUAUCUACCUCUGGUCCAUGUCGCCUCGGAGCCGGCCCACCAGAAUCAGGACCUCCUCGAGUGUCAGUCCAACAUGACGGGGUUCGAACCCAGUUGUCCGGGUCUCCGCGCCCGUUCCCUGACUAACCACAUGCAGUGCGACCCCCUUCUGCUCAACACCAACAAGUGUGACACCACCAGCUACGUCCGCACGCGGUGUCCUUUUAUGCAAACUUGCGAUCACGUAAGUGUAGAGAAAAAAAAUCAAUCAAUGAAUUAUGUGGACUACAUUUUGCAGUAAGGAAUUACUAUUUCUUAAAACUUUCAUUCGUAAAGGCAACUAUCUGCAUAGAAAGAAAAAUGAUUACUAAGAUUAUGUUGAUCUAAAUCGAUUGGGCGUCGCAGAGCGCGAGGCUGCGCUAUAAAAGCGGCUCUAUGUAUGUAUGUUGAUCUAAAUUGAGCCAAAAAUAUUGAGCCCCUUAUCGCGAAAUGUAGUACAAAUGUACAAAUUUGGGGUCACCUUCUUGGUGCAUGUACCGGGUGAAACGCUCC